rnacentral:rRNA from 1 species
CACGUAGGGUGCGAGCGUUGUCCGGAAUUAUUGGGCGUAAAGAGCUCGUAGGCGGUGUGUCGCGUCGGCCGUGAAAACCUGCAGCUUAACUGUGGGCUUGCGGUCGAUACGGGCAUCACUGGAGUUCGGCAGGGGAGACUGGAAUUCCUGGUGUAGCGGUGAAAUGCGUAGAUAUCUGGAGGAACACCGGUGGCGAAGGCGACAUCCUGGACCGGUAUUGACGCUGAGGCGCGAAAGCCAGGGGAGCAAACGGG